AGAAAGUCUGAGGAGAGUGUGAGGUGUUCUGAGGAGGCCUUAAGUCUAACCCUGCAACCACGCAUCUUCUAAAGCAAAUCCCCGGCACCCAGGUCAACAUCAAAGCCUAGCGACAGCUUAGUGUCAGAUGACGCAGUACAUGUCGGCUUCUCCGAAAUUAUAUAGAAUGAGGAGAAAUUAUACAGAAUGAGGAGAAAAGCUGGGGGAGAACACAAGGGAAACAAACCGGAAAGAAAAAACACCAGAUAAUCAACUGUGUUACACAUCAUAAACACAAGGAAAGGAAAAGUUCCAGGGUAGAGGUUCCUGUAGACUUCUGUCCAAAAAAGAUAAAGAAGAUGAAGAGCCUGGCGCUAUGAUCGAGCAUUGAGGCUGGGUGGUCAAGGAUUGGAGCUGGGUGGUUCCAUACGCUUGGGAGGAAGAUGAUGGUAAAUAGGAUCCAGAUCCAGUUGGAUUUGCUGAUCCCCCCCCUCUUCCUCUUCGGGUCCGACCUCUGCCUCUUGGAUUGCUGUUCCAUUGCCCCCCAUGUCUGGUUUUAUA